rnacentral:rRNA from 1 species
CCCCCAAGUGAAGGAUAGCCAUCCGAAAGGAUGGGUAAUCCUGCAUAAUCCCCCUCACCCUUCAAGGACAGACAUUUGUCUUGUCAAUUCGCCAAGCGAAUUGAAGUUCUUGAAGGGUGAGGGGCAAAGGGCGCCGAUUCGGCGCCCGCUUGGGGGAGCGGCCUUUCUCCUAUCAGCUUGUGGUGAGGUAAUGGGCUUACCAAGGCGAUGACGGGUAGCUGGUCUGAGAGGAUGAUCAGCCUCGAUGGGACUGAGACACGGCCCAUACUCCUACGGGAGGCAGCAGUUGGGAAUUUGCACAAUGGAGGCAACUCUGAUGCAGCGACACUGCGUGAAGGAUGAAGGUUUUCGGAUCGUAAACUUCUUUUAUCUGGGAAUAAUCUUGAAGGUACCAGAUGAAUAAGCACCGGCUAACUACGUG